GAUGAACGCUUGCGACAGGCUUAACACAUGCAAGUCGAGGGGCAGCAUAAAAGUAGCAAUACUUUGGUGGCGACCGGCGCACGGGUGAGUAACGCGUAUGCAACCUACCUAUCAGAGGGGAAUAACCCGGCGAAAGUCGGACUAAUACCGCAUAAAACAGGGACACCGCAUGGUGAUAUUUGUUAAAGAAAUUCGCUGAUAGAUGGGCAUGCGUUCCAUUAGGUAGUUGGUGAGGUAACGGCUCACCAAGCCGACGAUGGAUAGGGGAACUGAGAGGUUGGUCCCCCACACUGGUACUGAGACACGGACCAGACUCCUACGGGAGGCAGCAGCGAGGAAUAUUGGUCAAUGGGCGAGAGCCUGAACCAGCCAAGUCGCGUGAAGGAAGAAGGAUCUAUGGUUCGUAAACUUCUUUUGCAGGGGAAUAAAGUGCAGAACGUGUCCUGUUUUGUAUGUACCCUGAGAAUAAGGAUCGGCUAACUCCGUGCCAGCCGCCGCCGUAAUAC
rnacentral:rRNA from 1 species